CCCCGACGACGCUCUUCGAAAUCGAUCUCUAGGGUUGGUGUGUUCGUUGAAAUCAAUCCAGGAGCAGCAGAACUUGAUGAGGACGUCGUGUUAUCGGAUUUGAAUUUGAGCAGCUUCGUUCAGAUUCUAGGGUUCACGUUGCGAUCCUCUUUGUUUCUCUCUUUUCUGGUUUCUGGAAAAAAGAGAGGACCUUGAAGAAAAAUCAAAACGAGGUCGUGUUAAUAGUGUUUGUUUUCAUAAAAAAAAAAACAUAACGGACUUAGGGCUAACCCGCGUUUCAUUUUAGCCGGCCCUACUUUAACCCACACAAAACAAAACGGGUUUUGGGUUAAGAAAAUAGAUGCGGGCCGGGCUAACCCUAUUGGCAAAAGCCCAUAUUAACAUCCCUAGUGAUAGUAGAAGCAUGGCUAAAGAGGAGCACGGAAAAAAUGGGGACUAAGGCCGACGAAAGGUUUCUCUUUCUCAAACAUCAAUAUCAUACAAGUCUUAUUUAUAACUUUGGUCUCAGAAAGAUUAUGCUUCCCUUUAUUUGGUUAUGUUUUCAAAGUUGUCAUAAGCUGCACUAACAUGAGAGUAAAUCAUCGGUGAGAUGGAAAAAACUUACAGGCAAUGCCUUGGGGGGUUAACAAGAUUUGGUAUGGUGGUCUAUUUUGUGGUGCUGGUAGUGGCUGUGGCGGCGGUGGGGUGAUAGACGUGGUGGGAGCGUCAGCAAUGAUAUGAUCUUUGUCAAGACUGAUGACUUUCAGACUGAUUAUUUUGCAAGAAGUUGAUGGUUAUAUAUGUCGCUAUAAUAAAAACUCCCAUGCCAUUCUUCAUUAAGUCGGGAUAGAGGAUGUAGACAAAUAUGUUGU